GUGGAGUUCACGUGCACCGCGUACUGAUGACUAAUACCAACCACUCUGGGACGGAGAAGUGAAGAGCAGGAUGUAGAUAUCAAGACAACCGGCACAGACUGGACGUCGUGUCACGUAAUAUGUCUCCCAAGUGAUAGACGCAUCGCAGUGCUGAUAUAAAAGGUUAGGAAUAUGAUCACAUAAAUAGCUACAUGGCCGGUAAACUACACGUUCUCAUCAAUCACUUCCACUUUGAGUCCAUUGGCAAUCAGUCAAAGCCAAGGCACGGCGUCAUAAUGGAGCAGCAGCUCUGGAUGGACGAGGAUGCCAUCCAUCAGUUUGAAGGGACGCCGCUGAUGUGUGACUUCCCGUCCAUCUCGUCAGUCAUCUUCAUUGUUAAAGUUGGAGGUAAGGUUGGGAAAUUGAGGGCCUGUUCAUCAAGCGUUUCAGAGGGAACUGGGGACAGGCUAAUGAGAAAGCCAUCUUUCACAGACCAAGCCUGGCGGUGUGAUAAUUGCGCGAAACCAAAAAAUUAAAUAAAAAAACUACUGAGGAACAAGGAGUUAAAUUGAAAAAAAGCCUUCUGAGCCUUGCACUUCAUCCACUUAGCUGGGUUUCGCAGUGUUUUCCACCAAUUUCUUGGUUGAGCAGACACACAUAAAUUGAUACAAAUCCAUAAUCCAGAUUGGGGCUUAAAUCCGUCUCUGCUUCCUGCUUUUCCUAACAGGCGUGUGUUGAGUAUUGAUCGCAGCCUGAAUAAUUGAGAAGCUUAAGCUAAGCAAGCAUGUGAGGGGAAAUGGUACUGAAUAGUACAUCCAAAAAAUGGGCAUCAAAUUUGAAGUGCAAAGAACUGCAGUGCAAGUCCACAAUAAAUUGGGCCUUUUGGUUUAGUUAAUGCACAAAUGCACAAGUUUUUUACUCGUAAUGUUCACUGAGGUAAUUUUGCAUCUGCUGCAGGUUGAGGUUUUACUGGCAUACUGUACUACACCUGACUUUAACAAUGCAAGGAGGAUUUUCCGUCUGCAGCGUGGUAAAGCCGACACUGCAUGUUUGUCAUUAUAAAACAUUUACAAAGGAAUCCAAUGUAUUGCACAGGACACUUCAACGAGCUUUCCCAGGGUCUCGCCCUUCAUCGCUCCUAAAGGGACUUAUU
ensembl:lncRNA